CACGUAGGGCGCAAGCGUUGUCCGGAAUUAUUGGGCGUAAAGAGCUCGUAGGCGGUCCGUUGCGUCCGCUGUGAAAACCCGGGGCUUAACCCCUGGCUUGCAGUGGAUACGGACAGACUAGAGGUAGGUAGGGGAGAAUGGAAUUCCCGGUGUAGCGGUGAAAUGCGCAGAUAUCGGGAGGAACACCGGUGGCGAAGGCGGUUCUCUGGGCCUUACCUGACGCUGAGGAGCGAAAGCGUGGGGAGCGAACAGG
rnacentral:rRNA from 1 species